rnacentral:rRNA from 1 species
UACGUAGGGUGCAAGCGUUGUCCGGAUUUAUUGGGCGUAAAGAGCUUGUAGGCGGUUUGUCGCGUCUGCUGUGAAAUUUCGGGGCUCAACCCCGAACUUGCAGUGGGUACGGGCAGACUAGAGUGUGGUAGGGGAGACUGGAAUUCCUGGUGUAGCGGUGAAAUGCGCAGAUAUCAGGAGGAACACCGAUGGCGAAGGCAGGUCUCUGGGCCACUACUGACGCUGAGAAGCGAAAGCAUGGGGAGCGAACAGG